GGCACCUGCCUAGGUGCUGGGCGGUCUGGACCGUCCCGACUGCCUAGGUGUCACCUAGCGCUUUUUGAAACACUGCUUUAUUCCAAUCCAAAUACCCAUAAUGAUAGUAACACGCUUAGAAAGACUCAUGAGAAAUUUCCUAUGGUCAGGAGAGGGAGGAAAAAAGAGGUAUCUCUUAUAGCAUGGGACAAGGUUUGCUUGCCCACAUAGAGGGGGGGCUCGGUAUCAUGGGCCUUCGUAAGUGCACCUAGCCCUACUUGGAAAGUGGCGGCGGCCAUUUGCUACUCAAGAGACCCACCUUUGGCGGGAGAUUAUUCGCCAUAAAUAUCCAUGCGAGACCUCAGCCUGGCUAUCUCAAGGUGUUACCAGUUCCAUGUUUUCAUGGGCAUGGCGAAGAAUGAUAACCAGCUACGAACUUGUUUUGGACGGAUAACCAGUUACAAACUUGUUUUCAGGGAAAGAGAAUGCGACAAAGCUAGAUUUUGGAUGGAUUUAUAGAUGAGGAACUCCACACUUAAAGAGAGAUUCCACACUUUAUUUCUUAUUGUUUGCGAUCCUCAGGGAGUAGUUGCAGAUCAUUUCCAAUUGCUGGGUUCCUCGAGGUUUGGUGUCCAAACUUUGGACACCCUCUUUAUGGACAGCAAGAUCCCAGAAUUUAUUUCCCUUUCCUCCCUACUACAAUCCAAUUUCUUUCCCAUCUCAGGCAGUGACAAACUCAUUUGGUUACCUGCGGUGUUGUGGACUUUCUUGGUCUCCCCUUUCUCUAAAAGAUUGCUGCAGCCUCCCGCUUGUCCCUACUCCCCCUCUGUUACUUCUCGUGCCUGGGUCUCUUCCAUCCCUCUAAAGAUCCAAUUUUUCAGCUGGAUUGCCUUGUCCUAGAGAGCCCUCACAGUUGAUGAACUCUGUCAGAGGGGUAUGCCGAGCGCUAACAGAUGCAUCAUAUGCAAAGAAGCAGAGGAAACCAAUGAACACAUUUUCCUUCAUUUUGAUGUCAUCUGGGGUCUCUGGAUUCUUGUUACAGCUAUUCAACUGGAGCUGUAGCCACAACUUUGUGGGUGGUUUUGGACUGAGAGGAACAACAAGAUCUUUAAACGGAAGGAGGCUACCCCCUAUGCUCUCAAAGAUCACAUCAAAGCACUCACCAUUUUUCGGGUUAAGUACAACAAAAUCUUCAGCCAUCACCCCACCUCAGCUUUCUUUCAAGAUUGGUAGGAUUUGCUCAACUUUAGGCUGCUGCAAAUCCCUCACUUCUCUAUGUGGAGAGUCUGGAGACCACUGGAAAAAGGCCAAACCAAAGUAAAUUUUGACAGUUGCUCCCUCGGCAGCCCAGGUCCAGCUGGCAUUGGAGGCUGUUCAGAGACCUUGAGGGCAACAGUUUGCUAUCUUUCACGAGAUCCAUUGAUCACGCCGACUCUUCCAUGGCUGAGGCUACUGCCUUCUCGAGGGCCUCAGAAGGUUUAACGAGGCUUGGGACCCAAAUUUGAUGAUCAAGGACUCCAUAAAUGUUAUCUUGUGGACCUCAGGUGCAACUUUCUAUCUGUGGAGAUUGGGGCACAUUUUUUAUGAAAUUUUCGCAAUUUGCAGGCCUAUGCAAAUCUUUUGGCGACCCACGUGGCAUGAGUCAAAUUUGGCAGCAGAUAGCCUCGCAAAGGAGCUUUCUUGGGAUGCUUAGCCGGACCUUUUUGGCAUCUUUUGCAGCAGAUGGAGCCAGAGUCCUCGUUUCUUCCUCUCUCUAGAUUGGCUGCUGUUUGUAUUUUUUCUUGUACAAAAUCUUUUGGAUACUAUACGGAGUUCUAAUCUUAAUUUGUACAGAGCACCAUCUUGUGGGCUACCAUGCAAUCUUUUUGUACUACUUUUUGUCCUUUUAAGCAGUCAAUUAAUUCAAAAAAGAAAAGAAAAA